CUUUGUCCAGCCUUCCUAUCUUCUAAGUGAGGUAUCAUUCCAAAACAACUGUAUUUCUACAAGGAAUUUAGUUUAGUAACUACUGGAACAAGCCCUGAGUUCCCCUUUCUCUGGCACUGCGCUGUGACCCCAGGACCUGCAGUGGGUGCACUGGAGAGCAACAGAUGGGUUAGAGGCAAGAACAGAGCUUUUCCUGCCACCCAGGAACCCAAGGAAACCGAAACACAGCGAGAUU
rnacentral:lncRNA from 1 species